UACGUAGGGUGCAAGCGUUAAUCGGAGUUACUGGGCGUAAAGCGUGCGCAGGCGGUCGUGCAAGACAGAUGUGAAAUCCCCGGGCUCAACCUGGGAACUGCAUUUGUGACUGCACGGCUGGAGUGCGGCAGAGGGGGAUGGAAUUCCGCGUGUAGCAGUGAAAUGCGUAGAUAUGCGGAGGAACACCGAUGGCGAAGGCAAUCCCCUGGGCCUGCACUGACGCUCAUGCACGAAAGCGUGGGGAGCAAACAGG
rnacentral:rRNA from 1 species